rnacentral:siRNA from 1 species
CUUCAACCUCUCGUCCGUUG